rnacentral:misc_RNA from 1 species
GGAGAUCCACUAGGCAGGCUGAAGGUACUAUAACCUUAGUUUCUGUUUCUAUGGAAAACAAUAGUUUGAUCUCAAAAUUACCUAAAUUUUUUUUUAAUCAUUUACUAGUGUUGAACCUAUGACCUUAGAAAGACAUUUUGCAUGAUCAACUUACAGUUGCUGAGCUCUCUGACAUUUUCUAAUUGAGUGAAUCUACCUUGAUCUAGAUGCAUUUUCAUGAGAAACAACAGAAAUUUAGACAUCUUUUCC